rnacentral:rRNA from 1 species
UACGUAGGGGGCGAGCGUUGUCCGGAUUUAUUGGGCGUAAAAGGCUUGUAGGUGGCCACGUCAAGUCGGAUGUGAAAUCUCCCGGCUCAACUGGGAGGGGUCAUUCGAUACGGGCGGGCUCGAGGCCGGUAGGGGGAAGCGGAAUUCCCGGUGUAGUGGUGGAAUGCGUAGAUAUCGGGAGGAACACCAGUGGCGAAGGCGGCUCCUGGACCGGUUCUGACACUGAGGAGCGAAAGCGUGGGGAGCGGAUCCGG